CAACCCUCGAACCCCUCCGGGGGGUCGGCGUUGGGGAUCGGCCCCUUACCGGGCCGGCCCCGAAAUGCAGUGGCGGUCUCGCCGCAGCCUCUCCUGCGCAGUAGUUUGCACACUCGCAUCGGGAGCGCGGCGCGGCCAUUGCCGUAAAACACCCAACCUUCUGAAA
rnacentral:misc_RNA from 1 species